AUUGAACGCUGGCGGCAUGCCUUACACAUGCAAGUCGAACGGCAGCACGGGAGCAAUCCUGGUGGCGAGUGGCGAACGGGUGAGUAAAGCAUCGGAACGUGCCCAGUCGUGGGGGAUAACGUAGCGAAAGCUACGCUAAUACCGCAUACGAUCUGUGGAUGAAAGCGGGGGACCGUAAGGCCUCGCGCGAUUGGAGCGGCCGAUGUCAGAUUAGGUAGUUGGUGAGGUAAAGGCUCACCAAGCCGACGAUCUGUAGCUGGUCUGAGAGGACGACCAGCAACACUGGGACUGAGACACGGCCCAGACUCCUACGGGAGGCAGCAGUGGGGAAUUUUGGACAAUGGGCGCAAGCCUGAUCCAGCAAUGCCGCGUGCAGGAUGAAGGCCUUCGGGUUGUAAACUGCUUUUGUACGGAGCGAAAAGGCUUCCACUAAUACUGGGGGCUCAUGACGGUACCGUAAGAAUAAGCACCGGCUAACUACGUGCCAGCAGCCGCAGUAAAAC
rnacentral:rRNA from 1 species